CCUCUACUGCUCAAAUAUACGCUUUUCCCCCGGUUUCUCUCUCCCUUGCUCGUCCCGCUCAAAAUUCCUCCCGUUCGCAACCUCCUCUUCCUUCCUCCGCGACUUCACCUCCUUUGAUCGUGAACCCGCCGCGCCCGCCGGUUGCCUCCGCCUUCCCUUCCAGAAAACCCAUCUGCUCUCUCUCUCUCUCCUCCGCGAAUUGCCGCUCUUUUUGUGAAACGCGCCUCCGCCUCUGCCGCUUGCCUUCGCCGUCGCCUCUCGGAGCCCGUCGGUGGCUCAGAUCCCGACCACGGGGCCGCCUCCACCUACGUCGUCGCCUCCGAAGCCCCCAUUGGCGAUUCGUCCUCUGCCCCUCUCUCUCUGUCCCAAGAAACGGCACCGCUUCGCUCUCUGUGACGAACCGCGCCUCCGCCGUUGCCUCCCGAAGCCCCUUUGGCGAUCUCGGGCUCCGACUCGCCCUCUGCGUUGCCUCCGAAGCCCCAUUCUCAGAGAAAUGGCUCUGCUCGGCUCUCGAAGCUGGCGCUGGUGGUGGUGAUGGAGGGGUUGAGGUGUGCAAGUGUGACAAUCGUGGCGCGGGCCGAAGCUCCAUGCCCGCCAACAAGUCGAAGUACACAUGAGUCCGAUCGACGCAUAGCGUAGGUUUGAGGGUUGAACAUCCUCAAGAACUAAUAAAUAGCAUACAGGUAAUUUCAAAAUUAUGCAAGCAGCCAAUCAUUGUUUAUAUUCCAGAGCAUGAGGAUAUCAUGGGGUUGAUUUUAUACUUUAUAGUACUCAAAAUUGGCAUUGGAAGUCCGUGGUGGAGGUGGAAAAGUACUAGUGGCAGAUUACAAGAUUGCCAAGCAUGUCAGGGGUGAGGAUGUUGAUUCUUCCCCAAGUUUAGGGACAAACCGUGCUUGCUACUUCUUCUGCAUGUGUCCUGGCAGACAGGUAAUAGACAUCUUAUUUUGUU